rnacentral:rRNA from 1 species
AGCGAACGCUGGCGGCAGGCCUAACACAUGCAAGUCGAACGAACCUUUCGGGGUUAGUGGCGGACGGGUUAGUAACACGUGGGAACGUGCCUUUAUGUUCGGAAUAACUCAGGGAAACUUGUGCUAAUACCGAAUGGGCCCUUCUGGGGAAAGAUUUAUCGUCUCUAGAGCGGCCCGCGUCUGAUUAGCUAGUUGGUUGAGGUAAUGGCUCACCAAGGCGACGAUCAGUAGCUGGUCUGAGAGGAUGAUCAGCCACAUUGGGACUGAGACACGGCCCAAACUCCUACGGGAGGCAGCAGUGGCGAAUCUUGCGCAAUGGGCGGAAGCAUGACGCAGCCAUGCCGCGUGAAUGAUGAAGGUAUUAGGAUUGUAAAAUUCUUUCACCGGGGAAGAUAAUGACGGUACCCGGAGAAGAAGCCCCGGCUAACUUCGUG